rnacentral:tRNA from 1 species
GAGGAUAUAGCUAAAUGGUAGAGCUCAUGCUUAGCAUGCAGGAGGUCAUGGGUUCGAUCCCCAGGACCUCC